rnacentral:rRNA from 1 species
UUGAACGCUGGCGGCAGGCUUAACACAUGCAAGCCGAGCGGUAGAGAUCUUUCGGGAUCUUGAGAGCGGCGUACGGGUGCGGAACACGUGUGCAACCUGCCUUUAUCUGGGAGAUAGCCUUUCGAAAGGAAGGUUAAUACCCCAUAAUAUAUGAUUCGGCAUCGGAUUCUAUUGAAAGCUCCGGCGGAUAGAGAUGGGCACGCGCAAGAUUAGAUAGUUGGUGAGGUAACGGCUCACCAAGUCAGUGAUCUUUAGGGGGCCUGAGAGGGUGAUCCCCCACACUGGUACUGAGACACGGACCAGACUCCUACGGGAGGCAGCAGUGAGGAAUAUUGGACAAUGGGUGAAAGCCUGAUCCAGCCAUCCCGCGUGAAGGACGACGGCCCUAUGGGUUGUAAACUUCUUUUGUAUAGGGAUAAACCUACCCUCGUGAGGGUAGCUGAAGGUACUAUACGAAUAAGCACCGGCUAACUCCGUGCCAGCAGCCGCGGUAA